AUUGAACGCUGGCGGCAUGCCUUACGCAUGCAAGUCGAACGGUAACGGGCCUUCGGGUGCCGACGAGUGGCGAACGGGUGAGUAAUGUAUCGGAACGUACCUUUCAGUGGGGGAUAACGUAGCGAAAGUUACGCUAAUACCGCAUAUUCUGUGUGCAGGAAAGCAGGGGAUCGCAAGACCUUGCGCUGAUUGAGCGGCCGAUAUCAGAUUAGCUAGUUGGUGAGGUAAAGGCUCACCAAGGCGACGAUCUGUAGCGGGUCUGAGAGGAUGAUCCGCCACACUGGAACUGAGACACGGUCCGGACUCCUACGGGAGGCAGCAGUGGGGAAUUUUGGACAAUGGGGGCAACCCUGAUCCAGCCAUGCCGCGUGAGUGAAGAAGGCCUUCGGGUUGUAAAGCUCUUUCGGCCGGGAAGAAAUCGUAUCAGCUAAUACCUGGUGCGGAUGACGGUACCGGCAUAAGAAGCACCGGCUAACUACGUGCCAGCCGCCGCCGUAAGAC
rnacentral:rRNA from 1 species